UGCAUGCAAGUCGAGCGAAGCUUUUCAGUAGUUUACUACAGAAAAUGACUGAGCGGCGAACGGGUGAGUAACGCGUGAGCAACCUACCUUAGUUACUGGGAUAGCCCGAGGAAACUCGGAUUAAUACCGGAUAUUCUUAUUUAAUCACAUGAUUUUUUAAGGAAAGGUCAGCCGAACUAAGAUGGGCUCGCGUUCUAUCAGCUAGUUGGUAGGGUAAUGGCCUACCAAGGCUACGACGGAUAGCUGGUCUGAGAGGACGAUCAGCCACACUGGGACUGAGACACGGCCCAGACUCCUACGGGAGGCUGCAGCAGGGAAUAUUGCGCAAUGAGCGAAAGCUUGACGCAGCGACACCGCGUGUGGGAUGACGGAUCUAGGUUUGUAAACCACUUUCAGGAGGGAAGAAAAUGACGGUACCUCCACAAGAAGCCCCGGCCAACUACGUGCCAGCAGCCGCGGUAAUACGUAGGGGGCGAGCGUUGUCCGGAUUUAUUGGGCGUAAAGAGCUCGUAGGCGGUUCAACAAGUCGGUCGUGAAAGUUCAGGGCUCAACCCUGAAAUGUCGAUCGAUACUGUUGUGACUAGGAUACGGUAGAGGUGAGUGGAAUUCCGAGUGUAGCGGUGAAAUGCGUAGAUUUUCGGAGGAACACCAAUUGCGAAGGCAGCUCACUGGGCCGCUAUCGACGCUGAGGAGCGAAAGCUAGGGGAGCAAACAGGGUUAGAUACCCUGGUAGUCCUAGCUGUAAACGAUGGAUACUAGACGUAGGAAUUGGUUUAACGAUUUCUGUGUCGUAGCUAACGCGUUAAGUAUCCCGCCUGGGGAGUACGGUCGCAAGACUAAAACUCAAAGGAAUUGACGGGACCCCGCACAAGCGGCGGAGCAUGCGGCUUAAUUCGAUGAUACCCGUAGAACCUUACCUGGACUUGACAUAUAGGGAAAAGUUAUAGAAAUAU
rnacentral:rRNA from 1 species